rnacentral:rRNA from 1 species
AGAGUUUGAUCCUGGCUCAGGAUGAACGCUAGCGGGAGGCUUAAUACAUGCAAGUCGAGGGGUAGAAUUGUUUUCGGAUGAUUUGAGACCGGCGCACGGGUGAGUAACGCGUACACUACCUACCUUUUACUGGGGGAUAGCCUUUGGAAACGAAGAGUAAUACCCCAUAGUCCCUACGGGGUAAAGUUCAGGCGGUAAGAGAUGGGUGUGCGUACCAUUAGCUAGUUGGUAAGGUAACUGCUUACCAAGGCUACGAUGGUUAGGGGGCGUGAGAGCGUGAUCCCCCACACGGGUACUGAGACACGGACCCGACUCCUACGGGAGGCAGCAGUAAGGAAUAUUGGACAAUGGGGGCAACCCUGAUCCAGCCAUCCCGCGUGCAGGAUGACGGCCCUAUGGGUUGUAAACUGCUUUUAUCAGGGAAGAAUAGCAGUCAUUAAUGAUUGUAUGACGGUACCUGAGGAAUAAGCACCGGCUAACUCCGUGCCAGCAGCCGCGGUGAUACGGAGGGUGCAAGCGUUAUCCGGAAUCACUGGGUUUAAAGGGUGCGUAGGCGGCUAUGUAAGUCAGAGGUGAAAUCUUUCAGCUUAACUGGAAAAUUGCCUUUGAAACUGUGUAGCUUGAAUCACGUUGAGGUCAGCGGAAUGUGACAUGUAGCGGUGAAAUGCAUAGAUAUGUCAUAGAACACCAAUUGCGAAGGCAGCUGGCUAGGCGUGUAUUGACGCUGAGGCACGAAAGCGUGGGGAGCGAACAGGAUUAGAUACCCUGGUAGUCCACGCCCUAAACGAUGCUAACUCGAUAUUUGGAUCUUGUAUCUGAGUGUCUAAGCGAAAGCGAUAAGUUAGCCACCUGGGGAGUACGUUCGCAAGAAUGAAACUCAAAGGAAUUGACGGGGGUCCGCACGAGCGGUGGAGCAUGUGGUUUAAUUCGAUAUACGCGAGGAACCUUACCUAGGCUAGAAUGUGAGCGCUAUUUGGUGAAAGCCGAAGUUCCUACGGGACGCGAAACAAGGUGCUGCAUGGUUGUCGUCAGCUCGUGCCGUGAGGUGUUGGGUUAAGUCCCGCAACGAGCGCAACCCCUAUUGUUAGUUGCCAGCGAGUAAUGUCGGGGACUCUAACGAGACUGCCCGCGUAAGCGGAGAGGAAGGUGGGGAUGACGUCAAAUCAUCAUGGCCUUUAUGCCUAGGGCUACACACGUGCUACAAUGGACGGUACAGAGGGUUGCGAAGCUGCGAGGUGGAGCUAAUCUCAGAAAGCCGUUCCCAGUUCGGAUUGGAGUCUGCAACUCGUCUCCAUGAAGGUGGAAUCGCUAGUAAUCGCGCAUCAGCCAUGGCGCGGUGAAUACGUUCCCGGACCUUGUGCACACCGCCCGUCAAACCAUGGAAGUUGGGGGUGCCUGAAGAUGGUGACUUUACUGGGAGCUAUCU